AGAAAAAAAUUGCCUGGUAAAUAUGCCUACAAUGUUAUGUUCAAAUUUACUAUGCCCCAAAAUAUUCAAAAGAAGAACAAAUAUGGUCAUACGAGCCGAAAUGUAGUUAAAUAUACCACGUCUUUCUUCAAAUUGUAAUGGUAACGUUGACAAAAUUUCAUAGUAAAAUGAACUACGCGUUUCUACCAUGAAAAUAUCGAGUUUGCGGUCACAUUUACCAUGACUUGUAGUAAGAGCUUUUGCAUGACCACGUUCAUGGUUAUUUUAAGCGUGUUGCACCGGCAAAUUUCAGCAGACUAUGCGUUGCUUUCGAAUUUACUACAAGCCUGGUCAAUUUUAGUAGUAGUUUUUCGACGUUCGUGCCAUCUUUGAAAAGUUACAAAUAAACGAGCAGCGGUAGUGUAGUCUUGUUUAUUUUCAGUGAGUAUUCCAUUAUUUCUCUAAAAUUUGUGAUUAAAUUAUUGAAAUUGCGAAGAUCUGCAUGAACAAUAUUACAGAGGAAAAUGUCAACCCGAACCUGGAGGAGGGAAUCACGGUCAUUUUCGAAGUGCAGUCCAAGCCCAUACGUGCAUUUUUUGUUCGAGAAGCCAACAAACCGUAGCUGUUGCAACCAAGCCAACUCUGAUGCAUGCCGGAUGAUUCCUUCGUCAUGAUGGAUAGUGUACGUCGUACGAAAU